rnacentral:lncRNA from 1 species
CUCUUUUCUCCAUUACAAUACACCUCCCCACCAUAGUCCCACGGCACAGCAUCAUCAUUUUCAUACGGAAUAGGUCCAGGCACCGUGAUGGUAACUGGAGCCGCAUCUGCCGGUACUGACAAGUGGACAGGAUCAAAAUAAAUGGUUAUUUUUGAAACAUCCUCCUUCUCCAAAGCAACUUUCUCAAAUCGGAGGCUUCCCUCAUCCAUC